rnacentral:sRNA from 1 species
AACUAAACUGCUCAAACAUUUGGAAUUAACUUGUUCGAGAACAAUCUUCGUUCAUCCCUCGUCAUACUUAAAAUGCCAUCGCAGUACGAUCUUUUUGAACCUUAAGCCGCUCAAGUGGACAGAAAAUUCUUGCUAAUUCAGUGAAGAUUCCCCUCCCCGGGAUCCUUUUUCACCUGCCGGAGACGCGAAACAGAUAUUGACAACACCCUUCGUCAAUAAACCAUAUCACACGAUCAUCACGACCAUCAUUAUGACCAUCCGCUGUUGGUGCUCGCCGAUGACAUGGAUUUGACAUUGGAAUUCAAUACGGGUCGAGGCAUAACACCGAUCCCCUCUUAAGGCUUCUCUCUGCGAAAUGGCAGGAUCAUCGUGAUCAAUUUCGAGUCAUAAAUCGCAACACGAAGGCUUUUGUGUAUGCAUGGCAAUAUUUACAAAUUAUGUGCUGGCGAUGGAAUGUUCUGCGAUAGAAGCGAGCGCCAAUGUCAGGGUUAUCCCAUAGAAAGAGACGGGGCCACGAAGACAAAGACGGCACGAGAGGUGGAGCCUUGGCAAUGACAACGCACCCAACAACCGACAACAAGCGACAACAACGAGCAACAACAACCGGCAACAGACAAAACAACAACAAUGACACUGCACUGGUUUACCUUCAGGACGGUCAGCAGUUGGCAAGUUGGAGCCCCAAAGUCCAAAGCCAGUACACCGGGUACACCGAUGUCUGGGCACCCGACAACACGUUCCAUGCGUCCAUCCCACUCCACGCUGCUCAAUUCCCGCCCGCUUUCAUCCUUCGUUCCGGGGAGUUACAAGAACAGGGACCACACUAUGUGGGUACACUUCGAGAAAUGAUGUUAGCGUAUUCCAUCAUUUUCAAUAAAUAAUAAAAAUAUUAACUUUAAUGGAAAUUAAACUGGAAAGUCAUCUUCAGUAAGAGUUCUCAUCAUUAUAUUCAUUCCUUACAUAUAUAAUAAUGAUAAUGAUUUAAUUAUUUCACACUUAUCGCAAAAAAUAGUAAGUAGAGCAGAUAUUAUAACCAGACAUUACACAUAUUUUUCAGUGUAUAAUGCUGUGGUGCAAAGUCGGCCGAUGGCGAGUGCUUCGUAGCGCCCGAGUCAAAGCUAAAGCUAAAGCCAUCCAUCCAUCCAGGACAGAGGCGGCCAGAUUCAAGAGGAGUUGGCCAAGGGGAGGCAACUGUCUGUAAAUUAACGCGGGCGUUAAAAUUGCAAUUUUUCACUUAAUGCACACACUGAGACAACGACAACAAGAACAACCGACUGCAACUGCAACUGCAGCUAAAUCAUGUGAGUGAAGCGACGCUCGAGUAGGAUUGAGAUCGAGAUUGCUAUGACAUUCAUACCUUUAACUCAUUUACGCAUAGCAAAGUCAAUGGCAGCAGCGGCAGAAGCUGAGAUAUCAGAGGAGCAUGUCCAUUUAGAGAUGGGUAAACCAAUCAUAUAAGAAGGGAUUGGGAUAUCAUGGGAUACGUAAAGUUAUAAAAAUGUUCUUUAUUUUGCUGAAAGGUUUCGAUCAUAUUUCCCCAUUUCAACGACUGAUAUAUUGCCCAUCUCUAGGUAGAAAAUCUGUGCCCGACUGAAACUCGUUCCUUAUGUAAAGUGUCCUUGAAAUAAUUGUAAAUUAUGUCUGCAUUUCUCGUUUUUCCUCUGUGCCAGCGAGAUCUGGGAUCUGGAAUCUUGGCAAGAAGAAGUGGAGGAAUCUUCAUCCAGUUAUCGGUGGACUACCCCGCACCAUCCUUAAGAAUGUGUGGGUGGUGGUGCUGUGCGCGGUUUCGAGCUAUUAAUAAAUUUCAAUAAAGUGCAUUGGCGGCUGCCAUGUGGCAUGUGGCAUAUUUGUGGGGCAUGUGUCACCCCUCCAUGUGCUCCUCCUUCUGCUCCUUCGCUUUUGAAGAUCGCCACAUCCCGAGUUGCCCCUGCAGUCGGUUUCUGCUUAAUUGAAAAUCGCAAAAGCACAAAUUAUGAGAUCCCGUGCCGCUGCCGUCCGUCUGGCUGGCACUUUUCCCGCUAUCUCCUGGUGCAUCUUCUGCAUUUGGCAAUCGAACAAAUAAACAGAGAUAUAUAGUA